UGUGAUGGUUCUGUUUUCACGAUGCUAAUGUGUUGAGUAUCUGGCUGACCUUCUAUGCGCACACCUCCUCAUCUUCUGCCCUGGCCUUGCUUCUCAUGUAUCUUAUUCCAAAGAACUCCCUCAGAUCCGCUGGCAGGAGUAGUAGCUUCUGAAUACUUUCAUCCCUGAGUGACUCAGCCUGUUUAACUCGAGGGCUAGGAAGCCAAGUGGUCCACGCAGAACACGUAGGGAUCCCCACGUGUGGGUUGCAUCCUGGCAUGCAGUCACCAGAAGAGGCCGUCCACUAAAGCAGAGGGCUUUCUGGGCCUCAGAAGCCAUUCUCCUCAGGGGAGACGCCUGUUGGCACUGCAGUCCUCAGCAUUCAGAAGCCAAAAUUACAGUCUGUGAUUGAUGUGCGAGUCAAUAUGUCAUCCUUUCACCCAGAGCCUGAGCUGCAGCCAACUCAAACCAGUGUGCUUCCUGAUCAGGAUGCCACAGUCACUGGCUCCACAGUGAAGCACAGAAAAAGGUGAAGUUCAAGUAGAAGUCAGAGGAAAGAAGUGAGUAGGUGAUGCCCAGGGAGCCCUCCAGUCAUCACAGAGCCACACAGGCUGCUCCACGCCGGGGCAGGUGACACCCCCCGCCCUGACGGAGGCCUCCAUCUGGUUAGACGAAAUUCCCGGAAGAGCAGGAAGCAAGGCAAGGCUGGGUGAGAGAGAGGCCGGCAGCUAGAGAGAGGCCUGUGCCCGCGGGUGUUUCAGUUCCAGGCCUCCAUCACGUCCACCUCUGGCGCGGUCCCUCACUUCCGCUUGCCUCCUUGACUC